GGAGAGACCCAAAGCAUUGUUUUUCAACUUUUGUGCUUUACAGUUAUUUGUAAUCUUCAUGGACAGUCAGGUGUUCAGCAUAGUACAAGGUCACACCAAACACAGACUGUUUACUAUUACUGAUGCUCUGCUCCUCCAAAUACAUCACCACCUCCACUGACCCAUUCAGGAGAAAAAUAACACCAAAAUCAUCUUGAAAACAUAGUAAGCUGGUCUGCUUGGCUCCUUGGAUAACUGAACAUUUAUAAAAUUGCGCAGACUGCACUUGAUUAAGGUGCCACCACUUUGGUGUAUGCUGUUGCUGGCAAAUCUGCAGAUGACAAGAAACUGGGAAGGAUUGCAAAAUUAAGUAGAAUUCAGAAGGAUCUUGGUAAAUUGGAAAUCUGGGCUAGAGGCAACAGGAUUCAGUUCAAUGGUGACAAAGACAAGGUGCUGUAUCUAGGGAGGAAUAAUCAAAAACACCAAUAUAAAAUGUGACAACUGGCUGUGGAUGACAUCACUAUGGAGAAGGAUCUUGGGGAUUCAGCAAAUCACAGAUUCAGCAUGAGUCUGCAAUGUGAUACAGCUGCAAAAAAGGUAUAUGCAAAAUGCAACAGGAGUAUUGGAUGCAAGACACAGGAGGUGCUAGUGCCACGCUACUCAGAGCUGGUUAGGCCCCAUUUAGAGUACUGUGUGCAGUUCUGGGUGCCACAUUUUUUAAAAGACAUUGAGAAUUUAGAAAGGGUCCAAAGGCAGGUGACAAAAUGAUAAAGAGCUCAGAAGAAAACCAUCUAAGGAGAUGUUGAAAUAAAUAGACAUGUUCAGUUUGCAGGAAAGGCACUUAAGAGAGGACAUGAUAGCAAAUAUCUCAAGGGCUGCCAUAAAGAUGAAGGAGAACACCUUUUCUCCCUCGCUGCAGAAUAGGACACAGCAAUGGAUGAAACUUGGAUCAAAAUAGGGUUAGAUUGGAUUUUAGGAAAAACUUUUAGGAAAAACAGUGAGGCAGUGGAACAGAUUGCCAAAAGAAGUUGUGUUUUAGCUGUUUUUUCAGGCAUUGUGCCUGUUAAUUGUGUGGAAGGGUUAUCUGUGCAAAUUUUCCUUGGUGUGGACUAGAAUGGGAUAGCAACCAUAUAUCCUGCAGGCUGGAUAUAGCCCAUGGAGCCCCUACAUCCAGUUUACCAAGCUACCAGAAGUUGGGAGAGGGAGGCCAGCUUCAAAAUCCAGGGUCUCUGAUCCCCAGUAGACAUGACCAUUGGCAUCCCCACUGCUGCCCCUGCCACAGCUGCUGCCAUCCACAACCCAGUCUCUGACACCACCCCAAACCCUGUGCUGAUCUGUCCCGUGAAGGAGCCCCCCCGGUCCAAAUCCAACCAAAGGCAUAAGGUGAAUUUGACACCCCUGGGCUAGACAGCCACUUGUCUAGGAUAGGUGAGAUAAGGAUGACCCUGCCUUGAGCUGGGGGUUGGACUGUAUGUCCUCCUGAGGUCCCUUCCAGCCCUACUUCGCUAUGAUUCUAUGUCUGACAGUUUGAGUAAUUUCAAUGGUUAACUAUUAAAGGGUUGAAAACUUAGCUAUUGUUUGGUUAAGUAGCUACCACUCUUUCCUCUCUCUCCUAUGUUUUUUUUGUUUUAUGUCUAUACAUUACCUAUAGUAGUUCAAGCUAUACAAUUGGAUAUGAUAUCAUAACGUAUAAUGAUAUUAGUACAUAACAUUAUAAAAGAAAUGUAAUAUUUCUAAAGCUGUUUGUAAAAAAUUAACUGUUUCAGAUAAGGAAGUGUUAUUGUUUGGGCACCCUGACCACAAAGCAUAGCAAAUAGUUGCUGUCUGUUUGAAAUGUAAUCAAUAACAUAC